rnacentral:rRNA from 1 species
CGUAGGACAUUUAUCGUUGAACAAACGAACCUUGGCGGCUGCUGCACUGCCUGGAUGUCCGGAUCCAACAUCGAGGUCGUAAACCCCCCCGGCGAUAUGGACUCUUGGAGAGGAUGGCGCUGUUAUCCCUGGGGUAACUUGGUUCGAUAAUCAGUGGUACUGGGUCUAUUUUUAUGGUUGGCUUGUUGGCCUUAUACGGGGGUGUUAGCCCGGUUUCAUGGAGGUUAUAUUUCUCUCCGCAGUCGCCCCAACUUAAAGCAGGAGACUAUAAUAUAUGUUAGUUGUCUCUUGGUUGAGUUGUGAUUAGUUAUAUAGUGGUAGGCUUUAAGCUCCACAGGGUCUUUUCGUCUUGUGGUGGUAUUUCAGCUUUUGUACUGAAAGAUCAGUUUCAUUGAUUGGGCGUAGGAGACAGUAAGGUUUUCAAAUAGCCGUUCAUACAGGUCCCUAUUUAGAGGACAAGUGAUUACGCUACCUUUGCACGGUUAUGAUACCGCGGCCGUUGAAC